rnacentral:tmRNA from 1 species
GGGGAUGCAACGGGUUCGACCGUUUGCGAGGGGAAGAGUAUAAGCGCGUCGUAGGUUUCGGCUACGUUAAAACGAAAUUUUUAAAUUUAUCUGCAGACAAUAAUCGUCUUGCAUUCGCUGCUUAAUUAAAAGCGAACGUCGGGUAUAGGCCCACCGUCGGCUUAUAUUUCGGUGUCAUUUAAGACGGACAACGGCAUUAUGAUUUUAGUUGCGGUCGUAAUGCGGCGCAAAGUAACUCACGGCGUAAAUAGUCUGCCUUUGGACGAUUUUACGCAAGGGAAAAAACAAAGGCUAAACGCGUAGAAGGCUUUUUCGAUUGUAGGCGACACAGGAGUUCGACUCUCCUCAUCUCCACCA